rnacentral:tRNA from 1 species
GGGCGUAUAGCUCAGUUGGUAGAGCGCAUGCUCGAGGUACUUGGUGUUCGAUCCCCAGUACGUCCA